rnacentral:rRNA from 1 species
UACGGGGGGGGCAAGCGUUGUUCGGAAUUACUGGGCGUAAAGGGCGCGUAGGCGGCCUGCUAAGUCGAAUGUGAAAUCCCUCGGCUCAACCGAGGAACUGCAUCCGAUACUGGCGGGCUUGAAUCCGGGAGAGGGAUGUGGAAUUCCAGGUGUAGCGGUGAAAUGCGUAGAUAUCUGGAGGAACACCGGUGGCGAAGGCGGCAUCCUGG